rnacentral:lncRNA from 1 species
UGUUCCACCCGGCUAGUUUGCGCUUGGCCUGUCACGUGACACACAGGGUGCGAGACGACGUGACUACUUAAGCUCUGACAGCAAGAUAUUUACUCCACAAAGUUCAAGAUCGUGAGAUGCUGAGUGGAUCAAGAAUGAUAUACAAACGGGGCGUGUGACAUACACGAGGCUAGGAGCAUUGCAUAGAGCUGGGACUUGCUUGUGUAACUCUAUGGUUCCAUUCGUAGAACAUGGAGAGCGCCGCCUACAUCAUGGGUAUUAUUAUGACCCUUUUUGCAAUAUUCUCCAUAUUUGCCUGUAUAGUGUGGUCCAUGCUACGAUGCUAUAAGAGACGACGAGAUAGUGCACGCAGGAGAAGCACCAAUCAGACUGCAGCAAGCCAUGCUUAUCAACAAAAUGUUAUGCGUGACUCACUUCCGGGCGAAACCGGAUAUCCGGUAGAUUCAGAUCCACUGUCACAGAAUGUAUUUUUUAUAUCGUCUCCGGGUCUGCUUGUACUCCCUCCUUACUCUGAGGCAUACAAACCAGAACCACCCCCACCUUACGCACCAUGAACCGAACGUCCUGCAUGACCUUCACCUUUACGAAAUAACCCAACGUCGUCAUUCCAGAGGCGUAUUUUGGCUACGAGAAACAAUGAUUUAAAAACGUCACAGAAAGCAGCCGGGCGAUGUGCACUUUUUGCUGAUGUGCACUGUGUGAAGGGUGAUCAGGCGGCAGACAAUGAAACGGUGUUAAUGGCGUCAUUGGGAAUUUGUCGUCACAAGUGGUCUUGGUUGGAGGAUUCAGGAACGAUAACCUGACAAUCGUCAGCCUUAGCAAGUUGGAAUCUUUCCAACACAAUCAAAACAAUAGUCCCUACUUCCUGUCAAUAAUUAAUUGGCUGAUUACACAGCGACACUGUCUCUCCCACGGCACAGAAUCAAAUGUCAAAUGGGUAUGUGUAUCACACCAUGAACUUUUCCAUUGGCACGAAAAAUAUGGAACAAAAAUUAUUUAAAGAUGUUCAGUUUAAUGAUGAGCAAUAACAAGAGGCCUUUUUGCCAACUCAAAUUGAAAAAGUAAAAUAAUUCAAAUGACAGACAAGCAAAGUUUCUUUCAUGGCACUGUGCAUUAGAACUAAGUUACAAAACAUGGUCAGUUUUACGUUUGUGAAGGACUAACAAUGAACAAGUAUGUUACAUAAACGAUUUGUUCACAUGCUAGCAUGUAUAAACUGUAGUUGGUCCUGAGGAAAUCAAUUGAGGUAACAAGAAAAUGCUCACUGGAAAUCCCUGACUAAACAUAGUCAGACCCCAGGGCGUGAUUUUGAAACAAUAUUGGCAGACUGUGUCCGAAAAAGGUCCUAUAUAAUACCUUAAACAAUGUAUAUUAAAUAUAUUUUGUUAGUGUUAUGUAUGUACUGUAAACGAUAUUCUAUAAACCAUUUAGUGGGGAUAUAUUAGCAAGAAGCCUUCGACUGAAAGCCUUGUGUUGACGUCACAGAGAAAUUGAUGAAGCUUGACUUCGCUUUCAGUGUGUGGGUGAAUUCCUUGGAUCCCGGUUGUAUAUUCUUUACACUUAACACUUGUUCAGCCUGAGCAGUCAUAAGGAAGCUGUUUACACAGAGUGUCACAGUGUCUUUCCUUGGUUCUCAACAUCGGAACUCCCGUAAACAAACUGCCACCCCUUGUCGGUGACUGUUCACAUGUUGUCUCUACUUUUGUGUCUGAUCUUGACAUCAGGUCUGUGUGAGUGUCUGGCCAUGUCAUGCCAUCAUGUGUUCAAUGUGUCUGCAGCUGGUCUGCAAAGUGACUGAAAAUGUUAUCAUACGUGGAAUUGUUUAAGACCUGGUGUAGUGACGGAUUGAUGUAUAUUAACUGUAUGAACUAAUCAUCAUUAAAUGUUGUUAAUUAUGUUCUGAAAUAAUAUAUUUAUGGCGAAAUG